rnacentral:rRNA from 1 species
CAAAACAUGUCUUAUUGAUAAUAAUUUUAAGUCAAUCUCUGCCCAAUGAUUUAAUUCAAUGGCUGCAGUAUAAUUGACUGUACAAAGGUAGCAUAAUCAUUUGAUUUUUAAAUGGAAUCUGGAAUGAAAGGAUUAAUGAAAUAUAUACUGUCUCAUAUAUAUAAUAUGAAUUUAAAAUUUUAAUAAAAAUGUUAAAAUUUUUUUUUGGGACGAUAAGACCCUAUAGAAUUUUAUAUAAAAUAAAUUUUAUAUUAAUAUAAAAUUUAUUUUUAUAUUUAAUUGGGAGAAUUAUUAAAUUAAAUAAAUUUUAAUUUUUUAUAGACUUAAAUUAAAGAAAAUUUAUUGAUUUAAAAUUUUUGAUUAUUAGAAUAAAUUACCUUAGGGAUAACAGCGUAAUAUUUUUUUAUAGAUCUUAUAGAAAAAAAUGAUUGCGACCUCGAUGUUGAAUUAAGAUAAAUUUUAAAUGUAGAAGUUUAAUAAUUAAGUCUGUUCGACUUUUAAAAUCUUACAUGAUUUGAGUUCAAAUCGACGUGAGU